rnacentral:rRNA from 1 species
AGAGUUUGAUCCUGGCUCAGAACGAACGCUGGCGGCAGGCUUAACACAUGCAAGUCGAACGCCCGCAAGGGGAGUGGCAGACGGGUGAGUAACGCGUGGGAACGUGCCCUUCGCUUCGGAAUAGUCCCGGGAAACUGGGUUUAAUACCGAAUACGCCGUAUUGGGAAAGAUUUAUCGGCGAAGGAUCGGCCCGCGUUAGAUUAGCUAGUUGGCGGUGUAAUGGACCACCAAGGCUACGAUCUAUAGCUGGUCUGAGAGGAUGAUCAGCCACACUGGGACUGAGACACGGCCCAGACUCCUACGGGAGGCAGCAGUGGGGAAUCUUGGACAAUGGGCGCAAGCCUGAUCCAGCCAUGCCGCGUGAGUGAAGAAGGCCUUAGGGUUGUAAAACUCUUUCGCCGGAGAAGAUAAUGACGGUAUCCGGAGAAGAAGCCCCGGCUAACUUCGUG